CGCUCUUCCCCCGCCCUCAGCAGUAGAAUCGCCCGGUUCCACCCGCAGCUCCCGGCUGCUGCCGCCUUCUGCCCCGCUCGGUCCUUCAGGGAGUCCUUCCCACCCCUGUUCGUUGGCAGAGAUCGCAUAAACUCAGUUCCGAGCUGAUCGUUGGGGAGACCCCCGAGUGUCUUAGAGAAAAGCCCCUCGACUGUCGCGGUUGCGUUUUGGGAGGAGGGGCUGUGACCGCAGAAACCCGUCAGCGAUCCUCUGCUGGCGGGGCUUCUCUGUGCUGUCGGGAGCUGACGUUAAACCUGAAAUAAACAGGAGAAAGCAGCAAUGUCUUCUGACGUGUCACAAUAUACUAUUGGGGGAGUGAAGAUUUUGUUCCCUUGCAAGGCUUACCCUUCACAGCUUGCUAUGAUGAAUGCUAUCGUUAAGGGCUUAAAUAACAGGCAGCACUGCUUGUUGGAGAGCCCCACAGGAAGUGGCAAAAGCUUGGCAUUACUUUGUUCUGCAUUAUCAUGGCAGCAGGCUCUGUAUGAGAAAUCACUGCUGAAAUCAUCAUGUGAAAAGGAGGACAGAAAGGAGCCAGCAGCCUCCCCACCGUGUUGCUGUGUUUGUCAUUCCCUAUCCAAGAGCAGCGAGGAGGCUGCAGGAGCGAGUCAUGGUGCUGCGUGUUCCAGUAAUCAUGAAACAGGGGGCUCUGUAAAAACUGGAGGCCAACAAACAGACGCAGAAUGCAAGGAAAACAAUACCCUAGCUUCAAAAUUGUCUGCCAAAAAAAGGGCAUCUGUAUGUGGAAACGAGAGCGAUGACUUUCAAGUAGACAGGAAGAGGAUUCGUCCUUUAGAAACUGAGCAGCAGGUUAGAAAACGUCAUUGCUUUUCAAAAGAGGUGCAGCUGGUUGAUGCUGUAGAAGUUUAUAAUCAGAGAAAAAAUGGGGAGCUGGUUGUUCACUCUGAAAAAAGUGUAAAAAACACUUCUCCCAAAACGCUUUCCAUCCCUUGCACAGAGUGUUCCUGUUCCUCUGGAAAAGAAACUCGUAAAGAUGCUGGUAACACAAAGAAGAAAGCAAAUGGAGAUCAGACGUUCAUUCCCAAAAUAUUUUUUGGAACGCGCACGCACAAACAAAUUGCCCAGAUUAGCAGGGAGUUGCAGAGGACGGCGUAUUCCGGUGUCUCUAUGACGAUUCUGUCCAGCCGGGAUUACAGCUGUAUUCACCCGGUGGUGUCCAGUAGUAGCAGCAACAGGAAUGAACUGUGUGUAGAAUUACUGGAAGGAAAGCAUGGCAAGUCCUGUCUUUACUAUCAUGGUGUUCAUAAACUCACUGAACACUAUGCCCUGCACUCUGCACAUAACACAUACCAGGCUUGGGACAUUGAGGAUCUAGUGAGCCUGGGAAAGAAACUUCGUGCCUGCCCAUACUUUGCAGCCAGAGAACUCAUGGUGGGGGCAGAUAUUGUAUUUUGUCCUUAUAACUACCUCCUAGAUCCACAGAUAAGGGAGAGUAUGGAAAUUAACCUGAAAGGCCAGGUAGUCAUUUUGGAUGAAGCCCAUAAUAUUGAGGACAGUGCUCGGGAGGCAGUGAGCUACAGUGUUACAGAAAGUCAGCUGAAUGCUGCUCGAGAAGAGCUAGAUUUCAUGGUCAAUAACAACAUCAGACAGAAGGAUCAUGAGCACCUACGGGCUGUGUGCUACUCUUUGACAAACUGGCUACGGGCAAGCUCUAGUCAGCUGGUAGAAACAGGGUAUGAAACCUCCUGUAAGGUUUGGAGUGGAAAAGAAAUGCUCAACCAUUUUCACGAAAUGGGAAUAACCAAUAUUAGUUUUCCCAUUUUACAGAAACACCUUUCUGCUGUCUUGGAAAAAGAAGAAAAAAUAUCAAUGUUUGGUAAAGAGGAGCUUGUUGAGAUACCUAUCGUGAGCUCUGCCACUCAGAUUGUGCUGAAAGGGUUAUUCAUGGUUCUUCUGUAUCUUUUUAAAGAUAACAGCAGGUUUGCAGAUGAUUACAGAGUUGCUUUGCAACAAACUUACGCUUGGACAAAUGAAAACCAACCUGAUGUUUCAGAUACAAGUGCUUUCCUUGCAAAGACCAAACAUAGAAAGAAUUUGCGACAUAAAACUGCAGUUCACAUGCUUAAUUUUUGGUGCUUGAAUCCUGCUGUGGCUUUUUCAGACCUAAAUGAUGUCAGAACAAUUGUUCUGACCUCUGGUACGCUCUCUCCAAUGGAUUCAUUUUCUUCUGAACUUGGCGUGAAGUUUUCCAUUCAGCUGGAGGCCAGUCAUGUUGUCCGGAACUCACAGGUUUGGGUUGGCACCAUUGGAGCAGGGCCGAAUGGUCGGAAGCUGUGUGCCACGUUCCAGCAUACAGAGACCUUUGAGUUCCAAGAUGAGGUGGGAGCACUUCUACUUUCAGUGUGUCAAAGAGUUGGCCAAGGAAUUCUGUGUUUUUUGCCAUCCUAUAAGCUGUUGGACAAAUUGAAAGAUCGCUGGAUGCACACUGGCUUGUGGAGAAACCUGGAGCUUGUUAAAACAGUCAUUGCAGAGCCUCAAGGAGGAGCAAAAAGUGACUUCGAUGAACUGCUGAAAAUAUACUACGAUGCAAUAAAAUUUAAAGGAGAAAAAGAUGGAGCACUCCUAAUAGCUGUGUGCAGAGGAAAAGUUAGUGAAGGCUUGGAUUUCUGUGAUGAGAAUGCUCGAGCAGUUAUAACCAUAGGUAUUCCGUUCCCAAAUGUGAAAGACCUUCAGGUUGAAUUAAAGAGGAAGUAUAAUGAUCAGCAUAAAACUACAAGAGGCCUUUUAUCAGGGAGCCAGUGGUAUGAAAUCCAGGCUUACAGGGCUCUGAAUCAGGCCCUGGGAAGGUGUAUAAGGCAUAGGAGUGAUUGGGGUGCCCUUAUCUUAGUUGAUGACCGCUUCCGGAAUAACCCUAACAAGUACAUAACUGGAUUAUCUAAAUGGAUUCGUCAACAAGUCCAGCAUCAUGAAAAUUUUGGUAGUGCACUUGAAUCCUUACAUGCAUUUGCUGAAAGAAACCAGAAAGGCAUUGAUUUUUCAUCACAGGGUAGCAAUGAAUUUUCCCAUGUACCUUUAAAUUCAAAAGAGCUGUCAUCAGCUUCUCAACAGGAGGCAACUAUUCACCUGUCACCAGAUGUUCCUGUUAAAACUGAGGAGCAAAGUUUGGUCCCAGGAACUCAUUUAACUACAACCAUCGACUCAAUUAAUCCCGAACCAUCAAAUCAGCCAAGUAAUAUCACAGCAAUAAUGCAGCAAAGUGGCCAGAAAGUUGAUGUGGAGAGUCAUUCUCACAAUGCAACACAAAGAAGAAAACAUAUGGACUCCAAACCCAGAAGGCCUGCAACUAAAACAGAGAGAGAAAAAAAGAGCGAUCGGACUAAUUCUGAUUUUAUGAAAGAGCACUGCUGCUUUAAACCACUGACUUCAACACCUUUGCCUGUAGCCACGAACUGCAUGUCCACAGCAAGCAGCAAACAAAGAAAGAAUGUGAACAGUGCUAGUGAACUUAUUGGUGGUGUAAAUCAGUGCCAGUCAUCAUUCACUUUAGAACAUAAACAAAGUAUACCAGAGUCACAUUUGGAAACAACUGAUUUUUCAGUCAAAAAUACAGAGGCUCCAGUUGCUGAGGAGCAUCUUGAUGAGCAAAAGCUUCACACUGAGCCCAGUAGUGAGCUUCCUUCAGUAGGAGGGAAGCCUGAGCUUUCAGUGUUAGACGUGUCUGCAGAAGCUGAGGAUGAGGAUGAGAGCCUUUACUUCACUCCAGAGCUCUAUGAUGAUACAGAAUCUGAGGAACAGGAAAUGAGACCACUAGAUCCAGAUGAGAAUCAGAUUGAAUGUGGAAAACCCACAGUAGCUGAUGAUCUUUUUGUAAUCAAUACCUCAAAAACACUAAGUGAGCCAAAAGCAAUUACUAAUGAUGAUGUCAGAAACACAGGUUUACUUGGAACAAUGCUGAAUGAUAUCAGUAAGAAUAGUGCAGUUAAUAUUGAAAAGAUGACUAAUGGAAAAGAAGCAGAACAGGUAGAAUCUCAAGAGGUGGACACCAAAAAACGGAAAAUCAGUCUUUCCAGAUCAAGAAAUAAAGGAUUGAAAGUUCAGAGACAGUACAGAAGAGGAAAAUCUACUGUUAGGGCAAGAGGCAACACCUGUGAAAAAAAGAAGGAAAACCAACAACAGCCUUGCAAGAGAGGACUUUAUUGUAUUAUCUGCGGAGCAGAAAUACUACCAAAAGCAGAAGGCAUUUUGAGAAAAACUUGUUAUGGUGAUAUAGAGAUGAAAGUAAUCUUGAAACUCUUCAGAAGUACGCAUGUAAGAAGUAAGGAAUCCAGUAAUAACUGUACCUGUGAACUAGAUGUCACUUCAGAUGAUGAUAACAUGAUGUUGGUCAUCACAGAUGUUGCAAGUCUCAGUCAUCUUAAAGAAACUUUGAAGAUUUAUCAGAUGCCAGUGAAAAGCAAAGGCACGAAUGCCAGUUUAUCUUUAAAUGCGGUUUGGAAUGAGAAGGAAUAUUCUCUGACAAGUUACUUACAGUGCAGGAACUGCACAGUCCAGUCAAUGUCUCCGUGCCCUUUGAUAGGAGCUGAGGUUAUUCAUUUCAGCAAUAAAGCACAGUCAUGGGUCUGGCUGCUCCCAUCGUCUGUUCGUUAUUGCUUACUGCUACAGAACCCUCAAAAACGGAAAGCAGGCAAUUCAGAUUAUUCUUUAUCUUGAAAGAUUUUGCUGAUCUCUACCACAGAUUCAUCAGGACUAAUGAGACAGAUAAGUAAAGGAUUUUGUUAUUACAUGCUAACUCCAUAAAGAUACUCCGGGGUAAGCGGAGAGGUGGUACAAUCUUUCUUGUGAGUGGUGGGAAAGAGCUACCUGGUUACAAAUUCUGGCCCCACUGAAGUCAGCAGGGGUUCUGCCAUUUGCCUUCAACAAAGCAAAGGGUUUCACCAUGUGUUUAACAGGAAUAUUUUGCAGGAACUGUUGUCAGCAUGCUAGUAAAUAGACCAUUUUAAAAUUUGCCUUCUUUUUCACAUUUGAAUGUUUGUUCACCUCGCCUAUGCUUGAUGUAAUUUGAUACAAAAAAUUCCCCUCAAUUUCAUUUUAUUUCAGGUAGGUUUUGAAUUGGUUCAUUUUUUUACUUCUUGUGCUUUUAGAGACCCCACGUGGCAAUGUCUGGGCUAAAAACACAGUAGGGGAAUGUUCACAUAUUUUGUAUUGCUGGGAUUUAAACUGAAUUAAAGAAAAACAGAAAUGAAAACAUUAGCAUUUGUUUAUGUAAUUAGAAAAAAAUCCCAUAAAGCUGGGCCCGAGCUAGCCGAGGAUAUCUCUGUAAUGAACACAAACCUUUACCUUUUUGCAAGCACGCCGUAACUGCAGAGCUGCACAUAUCAUAUCUACCGUAUCAAUGACAUUUUGGAGUAUGUAAAAAAAGCCCACUCUAUUUGUCUUAGGAAAUAUCGAAAACUUUUAUAGGGAAUUUGGAAAAUAUUUUUUGGCCAGCAUGAAAGGUGAAAUCUUGCAGCACAGAGUACAGACAUGGGCACAGAGACUGAACAGACGGGCUGCUGUAAAACAACCAUUUAAUAAGGCAUUAAAAUGCCAUCGACUUGGACACAUAAAAAAAAAAAGCUAUGAAAACAAAUGCCUUUCAAAUAAUUAGGAUCUUAUGCUUGAGACCAGUGUUGAUCUCUAUGCAGAGAUUUUCCUGCUGAAAUCAGACCAGCCUAAGUCUGAUCGUCUAAGGAAGGAAUUAGCAGCGUAUAAAUCGGCUGCUGCUCGAGAUUUUUCUGUUUCUGCCAUACAUAACCAUUCAUUUAAAUGGCCACUUCAGACUUUCUAUCUCCUUCUUUCUGUUUCCUAGAGUAGUUUGAAACGCAUUUGACUUAGUACGCCAGGAUAAUUUUUUAAUUGAAUCUUGAAUUUUUAUCAAGAGUACGUGAAAGGGUUGAAUUACCAGCUCCUGCCACACUGCAUAAGUGAACCUGAGCCAAAUGCAGCCAGAAAUAGCAACAGAACCCAGUUCUGUUCUCCAAAACAUAGUGUGACUUUGCUUUCACUUGAAUUAAGGAACUUGGUGUUUAUAAUGCAUCGAAAUGAUAUAAAUCUGUCCUUCAACUCACCUGUAAUGUAUGCAGACACAAAAACAAGAAGUAAAGUUGACCAUUCAUGUCUGUGUAUUUACUCCUGGAUCACUGCUGUCAUGGUUGUCCUUGCCUGGAUACCUCACAGAAGAUGCUCUAGUUACACAGAGCAUGUUUAAAACAACAGCAUCCGUGACAGUGUAGAUAACAUUAUUAAAAAAAAAAAGUAAAAGCGAUGUCCGAGAGAUGAGCAUCAAAUUCUCAACUUUAAGCUGGAAUUUAAUAACAUUUCACAAAAGAAAUGUUUAAUGAAUAUUGCUUUUCACAUACAGUAAAGUUACUGUUUUGAUCUCCAUUUUGCUGUGCAUUAACAUCGAUAACCUUGGAUAAAUGAACGCACGGUCCUUCUGCAUUUUGUCUCGUUUCCUGUUCUGUCCUUAGCCUAAGGCACAGACUUUUAAACCUCUAAUUUUUCUUUCAGAUCCGUAAUUCCAAGUACUCUUAGAUUUUCUGUUUUUAACACAGGAUUUCACACAGAUGAGAACCCUGUGUGUAACUCCCAUAGCUAGGCAGAAUAGGAGAUCUUUCUCUUGAUAUUAUGAUUUCUUCUAUUAAUCGGUUUUAUAUGACUUUCUGCUAGCCUUGCUUUUAAAGGUGUGAAAACUUGCACUGCAGAGGUAUUUUAUAGAUUGCAACCAUAAUUUCUGAAUAAAAUUCUAAAUAACUGGUCUGGUUAUAAAGCUUUGGGCACAAUUUUUAGGUUCCUGGGAACUGCUGUUAAACCUCUGUUGCCAAUUGGCUAGCAGUACAUCCCAAUUAGUGACCCCUCUAUCUAGCAGUAGCUGUAUGUGAGUGAUUUUUUAUUUUUUUUUAAGUCAGUCGUAAAUGAUUAGUCCAAAAGAGUAGCAUAAAACUUCGAGCGAGUCCCCUGCAGGAGUCGGCUGGAGGAAAUUAAAGGAUCAACAACACAAGGGAAGCACUGAGGCAGGAUUGUUCCAGGCUGCAGCCACAGGCUUUCACGUGCACUCAGGAAAUUGACUUCAUCAAAAGCUGAGGAUGCAGGCGUGAGGAUGAGGAGGAUAAUACAGGUGAUGAUUCUAAAUCAUGGCUCAAUAUCACAGCGUUUUCCAAGGGAGAGGUUCCGUCCCGCCCUGAAGAAAGCAGGUUUUCUAUAUAAAAAUAGUCUCCUCCUUAUGAAUUAAUAAAAGUUGGGCACAAAUCUGAGCUAUAAAUCUAAUAUGACUUAAUAAAUAAUGAAGACUCAGUUUCCCCAAAACAAUAUCAGUUGGAUGUGGGGUUUUUUUGCAAAAGAAAAACAUGACUCCUUAUAAGCUCCACUGCUCAGUACAGAGCGUUAUUGCCCUGUGCACGUUUGUUUGUGAGAGCUGUAAAACAAAGGACUUCAGAGUGCUUCAGACUUACAGGCAGGCAAGGAGUUUUCUUUAAUGCUUCUAAGCAAAUUCUUGCUGCAGAAAUUUGGAUAUUCUGGGUCCAUGAUGAAGCUGAAACCUUCCUAGUGUAGUUGGAAAGAGUUGCAAGAGGGGAAAUGCAUAAAUCUACAUCUGGAGCCAAGUAUGCUGGGAAGGCGUAAAGAGAUGGGGAAGCAGGAGUGCCAGAACAGGGCUGAGAGCAUGAAAUUCUGCAGGGAAAAGUGGGAGAAAGAAAGAGGAAUGUCCCAGGAAUGAAGCUCUUAUAAUGUUCAAAUCUUUCCUCGGAAGUAAAAGUGUGGAAGGCUAUAAUCCAAAUAAGGAAAUUAGAACAAAAAUUAACAAUAUUCAGCUAUUCAGAUGUCAAAAGAAACAGCAGAGUUAUUGGUGUUAGAGGUUAUUGCCAGGAGGGAAAAACUCAGCAUGCUUUGGGUAAUUAAGCUUCAUUGGAGAGCAUGGAUCCCUUCUCCAGGUAAGAAAUGCUUUUAUAACACGGCAUCUUUUGCUAUUGUAAUUAAACACCACGGACUAUUCUGCAUAUGAAGUCUUAAACGCUUUAGUCCUUUAUCAUGGGAUUUUACUGGCCAGGCAUGUGUGUUCUUAUGGCAAAAAGCAUUGGCUGCUAUAAAAAAAGAAACCCAAACAUUUCUUUUUAUGACUUGACUUGCUGUAUUUUUAUAUAUAUUGAGCCAAAUCCAUCCCUUGUGGAGCUGAGUUGAAGCCAAUAAGGAUAGAUUUGGCCCAUGUCUAUAUGAGAAAGGUGGUGACAAUUAAAAUAUAUUGUUUAAUAAUGAGAGCUAUGGUAGUGAAGUGUCUUUGUGUCUAUGAAAUUAUACACCACGACACCACACUGCCAGUAGAGAGUGGGGCUAGCAAAACAAGUAAGAGCAGUUUCUGAUGGAAGGGCAAAAGCGCUCUAACUUUUAUUAUUAUGAUUAAAUAUCACAAAGGCAAGACUAAUUUAGGUAACAUCUCCAGAAGUCUCAUUUAUAGUGUAGUAUUUUGCCACAGUGUAUUUUAAAAUAUUUCUUGCAUGUCAUUAUAUGUAGCUAGCAAGGGUAGUAUGACUGGCUGCCAUUAGCAGUAAGUAAAAGAAUGGUUCUUAUUUCAUUUAUAUUUUAGUGAUUUUCAGUAAUGCUGCAAAAAGGAAUGCAUCCUAUGAAAUGAAAUGUGCAGACAGCCAUUAUUAUCACUUUAUAUUGGUAGUUCCCAGCGGUUCCUCUGUGUGAGGCGUUGCACCAGCACAUGAAAUCCACUGCUGAUACCCUGAAGAUCUUCAGAUCUUGCCUAUUUAGGCAGUGAGAUAUGCAAAGCUUUUUGCACAGACAACCAGGUCAUCUGUACAAAACCAGAACAAAUGAGUUUUGUUUGGCUCCUUGACAUGGUGGGUUGCAGGAAGCAAAUCUUCUCUUGUAUCCCUGUUGGUAAGUUGUAACAACUUUUAUAGCCAAAGCCCUACUCAACUGCCUACUGACUUGUAUCCCUUUACUGAAGAUAUUUGGGUAAUGGAUACUCACAGCCAGUAAUCACAGACUUAAACCCAAGCUCUUCAAGGGGGUUGCCAGAAAGCUGGGCUCAACCAUGCAGCUCUGUAAAGAAGCUGAGCACUUAGAGAACACUGGCCAGCAGCAAUGGAGCCCAGGAGCAAUGGCCGAAGGCAAUCAAUCUGUUGCCCUGCUGAGCUAAUGGGCUCAAGCUGAAAAGGUACCUCUUAUAUGAAAAUAAUGGGACUUGGGAAGCCUUUCACCCUCAAAAACAGAGGAAAAGAAAAUGCGCAGCAGAAGUUCUUUUUUGCUGUAAUUAUUACUCAUUCUGAAUCUCUAUCAUAGAAAUCUGGCCUUUGGCACUGGAUUAAGAUAAUAUUUUAUUAGAAGAAAGCAUGAUUCAUCAAAUUGAUGCGUUGCAGUAUCUGUGGAAAGGAAAACUGGGAAAGACACAAAAGAAGCUGGGCUGUGGAAAACCACUGCCAAACAGAGAGUCUCAGACUGCACUAAGAAACAACAAAAAAGAAAAUAUUUCCAAAGAAACAUCUGAGCACAGCAUUACAGCCAAGUGAAGAAUUAUUACUGCAUUAGGCUUUCAGAGUGGGGCAUGCAAUGUAUGUGGUAGGAGAAUACCCUGUCAUUUUGAAAUUAAAGAAAAGUGCAUGUGUUCCACAUCAAAACUCAGUUCCUCAGAAGGCUUGUUUGCAUGCUGCCAGUUGCUUCUGCUCUUUGUCAAGAAGAAUAUUUUUAUUUUCUAGUUACCAUUUUCUCCUUCUCUCUCUCCUCCCCAUCAUUUUCAAGUUCACCAUUUCCUUGUGUUUAUUUCCUUGCUGUUGACUUCCUGCUUCCAUUCUUUUCUGUCUUGAGUAUGAAUAUUGAUUUUCAGGCGAUCUGAUUAAGUGCUUUGCAGAGGUGAGUAAAGAUUAUUUUCAUUUUGUGCAUGACAGACACAAAGCAAAAAUUAAGUAGUUUACUAAUGGCUGUAAGCUGAAUCAUUGCUGAGUAUAUUAGGACUGGAAAUCUUGAACUUCACUGGAAUUCUUAGACAACCAUUUAAAGCUAUUUUUGAAAUCUUUUGAGUUAAUUGCGCAGCUUGCAGGACCAGCUCUUCCUUGUGCACCAUCUUGGGAACAGGAAACACAGCAUGCACCACACGUUCCUCCAUCAGUGCCAUCCUGUAGCCAACCCUGCUUCUUCCCACCUGUGUCACACUGGGGCAAAUGGUCAGACGAUCCACAGGGGCGCUCACUUGCCUCUCUCUAUAUGUGCAGUCUUUGUUGAAGGCUGAGAUUUGCCCUUUUGCUUUUCCAUGCACACCCAUGCAGUCUGCUUGCAUUAACACCUCCCACCUUUGAAGUGCUUAGGCAACAUUUACACAGAGAGUUAAACCCCAUCUCUCCUUGCAUGUUCCGAAUGAAGAAAUGUAGAAAUACUAAGGGACAUCCAUUCAAAAGCCUGUGUGACAGCCAUGUGCUCACUUCUAGCACUGUGUAAACGCAGUCUUUUUCUGUGACGCUCGACAGAAAUCCCAGUGGAAGUUUUUCCUGCCUCUAACCUGUCUACUUUGUUUCGUAAUGAUAAAUGAUGGGAAAGCCUGAGGGAGGGGGGAACUAUCUAAGCAUUCAACUGAUUGUGUCUGUAGAAGGAUGGGAAGGGAGAAUGUUGAUUCAUUUAAAACAGAACUUUAAUAUGGCUAAAAUCUUUGAUAUUUUUCUCAUUUUGAUCAUUUUUUGCAUUCUUGUAAGUAAGCUUAAGGCUAAAUCAUUACCCAAAGAUGUCUCAUCGGAUAAGACAAUGUGGUUACUUUUAUUCUUCACUUUAAAUUUAAUUGAUUACCUUUCCCACUUCCAGUUUGUCCUGCACACAGUCGCUUGGUAGCAGUCACCUUUGCUUUCAGUCAAGGUAUCCAUUGCGUGCAUGCUGACUGUUUCCCAUUACCUCUGCAGCACAAAGCAAGUUCAUCACCUUUCCAGGAUGUCUUGUGAUUGAUUCCUCAUGUCUGGGGAAAUAUGCUCUAAAGUUUCAGGCUAAAAUGAGUGCUUGGAUUUAGUGUGGAUAAUCAGUGGUUUAAGACUUAUUCUUCUUAUGAACUAUUCAUCUAUUUAUGAGAUACACAACUAAUAUUAAAUAUAAUAUAAUAUGUUAAAUUUAAAAUGUUAUUGUUCCCUCAGUAGCUCUCAGACGCACUGGGCAUGACUAAACCACGAUUUGCAGAGUGUGUCUGCGUCAUCCAUCAAACACAACUCCUCUCUGCCUCAGACCUAACCUGUGCGCAGCAAAGCCAAGGCUGAAAGCCUUGAAAAGAAGAUCAGAGGCCUGGUCUUGCCAUGCUGAAAUCUAUAAAAGUUUUCCUACUGACUUCAACAGAAACAGGACUAAGCCUUAUGAUUCUGGCAGGAAAAUCUGAGAAUAUUCCUUUACAGCUCUCUACUGAAUGUUGAACUCCAAAAUACAUUGUUGUCAGCCUUAUGUAAGACAGAGACUGUUAAGGAAAGACAGUAGUUUUGCACAUACUGUUCCCUGCACAUGUUGUUCUUCAGUAAAUAUUUAUCAAAGGAUGCGUCCAUUCCUGCUGGCAGCGUCCGAGGCAUUGGACAAAUUUGGCCUGAUUUCCUGCUGUCAGUGCAAACCUCCCAACUAGAAGCUGAAUUUAUCAAGUUUCGUCUUUCAAAACUGUUAAAAUCAUUCUUAUCCAAGUAGAUAGUGCUGACAAAAAUGGUCAUUCGAUGAAAUACUCUUUAAGAAAAGGCACGUCCUCCAGCUUGUAAGUACAGCCCCACUGAAAAUAUUCAUCAAAACUGUAACAAAGCACGGCUGAAGGCCAAAAAUUUGUAUUUGCUGAAAACUAAGGAAAACGGCAACAGAAAGAAAACCAGAUGAAAGUUUGUUGGCACUUGCAGGAUACUUGUUCAGGCCUCUUACCCUCUACUAUUUGUCUGUGGAACUAGACUCUUUUGACCUGUUCUAGCUAUUCCUCACAUGUUCCUUUCAGUGUGUUUUACUUUUCUUUUGCUUGAACAAGUUUAUAAUUAACAUAAAAUAAGCCUGAUUUUAAUUGAGUUAGCAUUAUCAGCACUUUGCACUAAUUUAUAUACCCUUUCAUUUCCUCUUUUAAGCUCUUUUUAGGUCAGACUUAGGCUUGGGGCUGUGCUUUGGUGCACACUGUGCAAAGGAUGUGGUGGCUGAGCAGAAAGGGCUUGGAUCCCAAAGCCUCAGGGCUUACUACCACCAGAUGCCUGAGCUGAAAUCUCUCUUUUGGAGUGCAGUUCUUCUGGAAGAGAACCUGAGGAGCUGCAGCUGCGCCUUCUCUACCUAUGCCUGAGUGAAGUCCAAACUCACUGCUGGCACCAGUGCUGCUGGACUCGGUGGAACUAAUCUUGCUCAUGCCAGUAUUAAAUUUGGACAUCUACCUUAAAGAAAAACAGCCUUUGAGGUAUGGAUUAGAAUACAUCAAUGGAAAACAGAACUCGUGUGUAGCCAAGUUUUCCUCACUUGCUAAUUUUUGCUUUAAUCUGAUUUGAACUGGACCGCGUUUUUCUGGACUUAGGCUGCUACUCGCUGUUAUGAUGCAGCCACCAGGUCAGAGCUGGAGCUGGAAAAGCCUUCGUGCACGUGAAGUUCUCUGCAUUCUUGAGAAGUGAAAUCUGUAGUAAGUAGAGCCUGGGCACAGUGAGCAUAUUUGAUUGAUUUUAGUGCUGUACAGGUUGCUUCUUUUUAAUGAUGCCUUCAGUUUACUGUUUCUGGUUUGUAAAGCAAAUAGACAAACAACCAACCAGAUGGGAAAUGCAGACCUGCCUUGGGGCUUGGGUUCCGCAUCUGGUCCCACCUGCGCUUUGCCCAUGAGCUCUCUCUGGGUUCGGAUUCAAAAACCGGGUUAGGCAUUUUGCAAUGAGAAGAGCAAGACGAAAACCACCACCCUUCCAUUCCUUAAUGCAGCCAAAGCAUGCCCCAGGGGUGUGCUGGCUGAGGAUCUCUGCUCAGUUCAGCUGUGGUUUGUAAGCAGCAUGCUGUUUAAUGCUAUCUAAAUGUUUUUAUAAAGGUCAAGUAGGAGUGGGAUCCUCCUAAUUUAACUUUAGCCAUUUAGAAAUGAGAAAUCUAGUCUGCCUGAGCUAGAUUCCUCUGCGAGUGGAAAAUAUCAGCACUGCAGAAUGAUUCAUCCCAUUUUAAUCUGCCCAGUCUCUCUCCAUUGACUAUAAAAGGGGCCUGGAUGACCAGAUUAGCAUAUACCCAAAUUUUAGACACAUAUGCGCUCACUCAGCAUUUUACAAUCAGCCCUGCAGUGGCCAUACCAGGUACUAUUUUCAUAGCUCACAGUGUGCCACAGGGCUGCACGCAGUGCCUGCACAGCUCCCGUGGCUCCUGGAGCAAUGAAUCUUGGCUGUGAGCAUUGCUGCCUGUGUCCUCAGCCUCAGUCUUAAAACCUGGAUUGCUUACAGGUUCAGGGCUCAUCUGUACUGCCUUGACAGAAAGCUGCUGGGCCAAUUCUUGUAGGAGCUGCUUCCAAAACUGCCUUAGAUGCAUAAAUAUUGUACUGAGCGACAUAAAGUUUAAAAAAAAAAAAAAAAGUUAAAAAAAGAAGCAGUGACUACUUCUUGAAAAGGGCAUUAUUAUUAUUGGCCAUAGUUGUGAAACAGGUAAAAUAUCCCAAAAAGAGUCAAGUGCACAUCUGGAUAAAGUGUGGGAUUGGUGUAAUUGGACAGCAGAAGGGAGAAGACAGAGCAGGCAUCCAGUAAUUCACCACGGAACAGCUUUAUGCUUGUUAUUGAAAUGCAGCCAGAGACAGUUAAUAGUAGUAAAAUGACUUUAUGUUCUGAUAUGUAAAAUAAAAUGUCCAUGCUAUGUAACAAACAGUUGAAAAUUCCACACCACCUGUAUCUAUCGUGGUUUCUAAUAAAAUUUUAUCUGUAGUAUAUAUGGUUUUUAUCUAACCAAUCCUUAGUUUUUACAUCGAAGGUGUGUAAUUAAAAA